rnacentral:lncRNA from 1 species
GGGGACUCGGCCUCAGGGAAACACAUCCGUAUGGGCCGAGGGAAGGGGACCAGCAGAAACGUGAAUGCCGUGGGAGUCUUACAGGAAAACCAGCUGGGCUAUUAAAGGCCCCUCUUCACACAGAGCAGAGCAAGAGAAGGCAGGUUUCAGAGCGAAUCGCUGUCUACCAUCAAAGCAGACGGGGUUCCAAACAGACAUGGUAUGUUACACACAAAGACCAAGGUAACUGCUGCAUGGUUUUACAAGUAAUUUACUGUGCUCGUUUAAAUGCACAAGAGCCUCUAGAAUUCUCACUGAUCAUGUUACCUGAUUUUCUAUUGUUAAAAAAAGCCAAAUAAUCAAAUGUAAUGUAAAAAGUCAGCUAUCUGGAUAUACCCCUCCCCGGACCCUAAAUAGCCUGAUGCUUCUGUUGUGUCAACAUCUUUGCAUCAGAGAGGAGUGAUUUGUUUCAUGUGAUAAAUGCCAAUUUGGUGAUGCCAUAUAAUGAAAACCUACUAGGCUUUAGUUUAUGAAGUGUCUUUCUCUGCUCAGCUUUAAAAAGCAGGAAUUUUACUUGGAGUUAUAUAUUUCUUGGGUUAAUUUAUAUUUUAUAAAUAUGUGAAAUUAUUA